rnacentral:rRNA from 1 species
UACGUAGGUGGCAAGCGUUGUCCGGAAUUAUUGGGCGUAAAGCGCGCGCAGGCGGCCUUUUAAGUCUGAUGUGAAAGCCCACGGCUCAACCGUGGAAGGUCAUUGGAAACUGAGAGGCUUGAGUACAGAAGAGGAAAGCGGAAUUCCACGUGUAGCGGUGAAAUGCGUAGAGAUGUGGAGGAACACCAGUGGCGAAGGCGGCUUUCUGGUCUGUAACUGACGCUGGGGCGCGAAAGCGUGGGGAGCAAACAGG